rnacentral:snRNA from 1 species
AGAAGAUUGACCUAGAUUGUCAUU